UUUAGAUAAACAUUCAGAUCCUCUCUCCAUAUCCGUAGAUCUAGAAUGGCUCUUCAUCUUUCCGGCAAAUAGAUUGAAAAACUUUCAAUAUGGCGAUCUUUCUUUGAGGAGGGAUCAACCGUUGAUGGUCGCGUAUUGCGAGAUGUUGUUGUACGAAGAAAUGGGUUGAAAGUACCUCAAGGCAACUACUAUUUGUGCGAUGGAGGAUAUACAAAUGGAAAUGGUUUUGUUUCCGUACCGAGGAUAUAAAUAUUGGCUAAAUGAUUGGCAGGGUGACAAUCUAUCACCUCGAUGUCGAGAAGUGCUCUUUAAUAUGAAGCAUGCUAGGGCGUGUAAUGUUAUUGAAAGAGCAUUUGGACUAUUAAAAGGACGCUAGGAAAUUCUUAGAAGUCCUUCGUGGUACUCGGUUAAGGAUCACAAUAGAAUUAUUAGUGCAUGUUGUUUGAUACACAAUUUCAUUCGAAGAGAGAUGAAAGUUAACCCAUUAGAUAUGGAAAUGGAAUUCCACAUGGAGAAUCAACAUGAACAUGACAAUAUUAAUACAAUUGAAACAUCUAAUGAGUGAACCACUUGGAGGGAUGAACUAGCUCAGUCUAUGUGGAAUGAAAGAUUGGGAAAUCAAUUUUUAUAAUUUUAAACUAUGUCGUCACUUUUGGUGUGCUUAUGCACUUUUGUUUUUGGUUUUCCGCUCACUGUAAAAUGUAAUAGCUUUUAUUAUUUUGUGAAAACGAAUGGUCAAUCUUUUGUAUGUCUCAUAUUGUUGUCUGUACAGACAAAUAGUGAAUCUC